UAUUUAUUCUCAUAUUUACUUUUAAAAUUAUUUUAAUAAUUACAAAUAAAAUUUAUUUAAAAUAUAUGCAUAUACUUUUAUAAUCGUUAGUAAUAUAAAUGACUAAAUAGUUUGUUGUUGGCUGAUGUUAAAUUUGGUUAUUAUGUUCAUUUUUCAAGAUUUUAUACAUAUAUAUAUAUAUAUAUAUAUAUAUAUCUGUUGUGUGUGUAUACAUGUUUUAGUACACCUUGAGCAUGGACUAGUGAGAGUUGGAUUCGGCGGUCAUGUGCUUCUUUCUUUCUUUCUUUGUUUUUAAGAGAGUGUUACCCUGCCAUACGUAGAGAGAAUGCAGUAGAAUAAGAAAUUGUAGUGUAGUUAGUUAGUUACAGGUGUUGAUAGUGAGGGGAUGUUAAUUGCAAGGCAGAAGGGCAGAAUGCAAAUGGAGUGGAGAUGGCGCUGGAGUGAGCCAGGGAGUACCCAAGGAAGGGGAAGGGAAGGGAGACUGGGCAGAGUGAGGCCAGAUCUGUUUCUGAAGGGGGCGGACUUGGUUGCUUUCUGGUUUUUCUUACGGAGGAGGAGUGUGGAUAACUAACUUUCACUCGUUGGAUCUGGAUGGUGGUGUCCUCGGCUUCUUAUGUGUUUUAUUUAUUACUUUUGGUAUUGGUUUUAUAAUUAUUAUUUGCAGAGCGAGAGAGAGAGAUUAUAAUUUUUUUAUAAUGAUUGUCGCAGGACGCCAUUCAUUUCCAUUCAUUCCCGGAGGGGAGGGGGGGAUACCGUCUGUCCGUCCGUCCAGGUUGAGGGGGUGGUGUUGUUGUUGCUGUUGUUGUUGUCGUGUGAGGUGGCGUGU
rnacentral:lncRNA from 1 species